UUUGGUCUCAUUGAUAUUUUUACUUCAUGACAAAAUGGUUAAGUCUUGUCAUUAUAGUCAGUUCAACAAUCAAGGUCACAUUUCUUUUUCCCCUCAGAAAGGAGAAAAAUACAUGUUUGUUGUAUGUGUUUGGGUGUGUAUGAUAGGUAUUCUUUUUAUUAAGAAAGAACACAAAUCAUAUACUUGAAAAGGACGGUUCACGGAUCGUGAAAAAAGAAGAGAGUGUGAACCCUCUUUUUUAUUCAUUGUUUUUGGGGGUGUGGUAAUGAUCCUUCCGCAGGUUCACCUACGGAAA
rnacentral:misc_RNA from 1 species